ensembl:lincRNA
CAAGUAUGUCAAGAAGGAGAGCUCCUGGCCUGGGCCUAUUGAUGGGCAUUUAGAACCCUCCCGGGCAUUAUUUCUAGCUGGCGGCUGAAUAAGAGGCAAGAGUCACCCUCUUUUUGAGUUAAAUCACGUGCUUAAUUAAAAGUGAAGGUGGCGGCGGCCGCAGCGCCCUCCCCCUUCAGGCUGCUGGCUUCUUCUCGACGGUGUACUGGCCACGUCCUGCGCCUUCUCGCGCACCGGAGAGCGCUCUGGGUAGAGGCCGGGCCCCGGCAGCAGGUGGCUCCAGGUAGCGCAGUGGCGUGGCCGUCUCCUCGCCGGGUCCGGAGCGGAGGGGAGGGGUUCAGGUGCAGGCUCGGGGGACGCCCGGGCACCUCGGGGAUCCAGAGCCCGCUGGCGCCGCGCCCGGGAGGACACCCCUGGCGAGGACGAGGCCGCGCCUCCUCCCGGAACUGGCCGGCGCCGCAAGGCGGGAGGAGCAGCGGGAGCCGGGUGGCCGCGCCUCGGGGACCAUGGACGUCCUUCCCACCGGCGGGGGCCGCCCGGGGCUCCGGACGGAGCUGGAAUUCCACGGCGGCGGUGGCGAGGCGAGGCUGGAGAGCCAGGAGGAAGAAGCGAUUCCUGCAGCACCCCCAGCCCCGCCCCUCCAGGGAGCGGCGGAGCGGCUGCUGGGCUCCCGGGACUCGUGGGACGGCGACGAGGACACAGAGCCCGGCGAGGCGCGCGGCGUCCGUACUAGCCGCACGGCGUCCCUGGUGAGCGGGCUGCUCAACGAGCUGUACAGCUGCACAGAGGAGGAGGAGGCGGCGGGCGGGGGCCGCGGGGCUGAGGGCCGUCGGCGGCGCCGCGACAGCCUCGACAGCUCCACCGAGGCCUCGGGCUCAGACGUGGUCCUGGGCGGCCGCAGCGGCGCCGGCGACUCCCGCGUGCUACAGGAGCUGCAGGAGCGACCUAGCCAGCGGCAUCAGAUGCUGUACCUGCGGCAGAAAGACACUAAUGAACUGAAGACGAUCCUUCGAGAGCUAAAGUACAGAAUUGGCAUCCAGUCGGCCAAGUUACUUCGGCAUCUGAAGCAGAAAGAUAGGCUUCUGCACAAAGUACAGAGGAACUGUGAUAUUGUGACUGCCUGCUUGCAGGCUGUGUCACAGAAGAGAAGAGUUGAUACUAAGUUGAAAUUCACUCUUGAGCCAUCUUUAGGUCAAAAUGGUUUUCAGCAGUGGUACGAUGCUCUCAAGGCAGUUGCCAGGCUAUCCACAGGAAUACCAAAGGAAUGGAGGAGAAAGGUUUGGUUGACCUUGGCAGAUCAUUAUUUGCACAGUAUAGCCAUUGACUGGGACAAAACCAUGCGCUUCACUUUCAAUGAAAGGAGUAAUCCUGAUGAUGACUCCAUGGGAAUUCAGAUAGUCAAGGACCUUCACCGCACAGGCUGUAGUUCUUACUGCGGCCAGGAGGCUGAGCAGGACAGGGUUGUGUUGAAGCGGGUGCUACUGGCCUAUGCCCGAUGGAACAAAACUGUUGGGUACUGCCAAGGCUUUAACAUCCUGGCUGCACUAAUUCUGGAAGUGAUGGAAGGCAAUGAAGGGGACGCCCUGAAAAUUAUGAUUUAUCUUAUUGAUAAGGUACUUCCCGAAAGCUAUUUUGUCAAUAAUCUCCGGGCAUUGUCUGUGGAUAUGGCUGUCUUCAGAGACCUUUUAAGAAUGAAGCUGCCGGAAUUAUCUCAGCACCUGGAUACUCUUCAGAGAACUGCAAACAAAGAAAGUGGAGGUGGAUAUGAGCCCCCACUUACAAAUGUCUUCACGAUGCAGUGGUUUCUGACUCUCUUUGCCACGUGCCUCCCUAAUCAGACGGUUUUAAAGAUCUGGGAUUCAGUCUUCUUUGAAGGUUCAGAAAUCAUCCUAAGGGUGUCGCUGGCUAUCUGGGCAAAAUUAGGAGAGCAGAUAGAAUGUUGUGAAACAGCAGAUGAAUUCUACAGCACCAUGGGGCGCCUUACCCAGGAGAUGCUAGAGAAUGAUCUUCUGCAAAGCCAUGAACUCAUGCAGGUGAGUGGUCAACAUGGAGCAGCUUGGCUCAGGGAACCCCAGGCACGGUGGGAACAACCAGUGCCAGAGCAGC